rnacentral:rRNA from 1 species
UCCCGGAGGAGAUCACCCAGCUAGUCAUGCCAGAGCAUUUUUUCAAUGUGCUCCCCAACGAGAAGGCAACGAUACAUUCGUAUGUAAAUCCAUAUCAACUUUCGAUGCCAUUGACUGCGCCUACCAUCGGGUGACCACAGGUAACGGGGAAUCGGGGUUCAAUUCCGUACAGGGACCCUGACAAAUGGCUACCACAUGCAAGGAAGGCAGCAGGUGUGCAAAUGACCCACUCCCGAUGCGGAAAGGUAGUGACGACAAAUAACAAUACAGGACUCUUUAGAGGCCCUGUAAUUGUAAUGAGUCCACUUGAAAUCCUUUAACUCUGAUCAAUUGGAGGGAAGUCUGGUGCAGAGCCACUGACCCGUGCGUGCUGCAGCUGAAACUCCACUA